GUGGUAUCCGGUAUUAUUUCGUGUUUCUGAACGAUGUCCAAACAGAUAUAACUUCAACCCUUCGCUAUCAAUGAUACUCAACUCUGUUCCCGCUGAUUUGAUCUUUUUUCUUUGGUUUUGACUGAAAGCAGUGACGCCCAGUUCCUGUGCUACACCCGACCAAGUUCUACAUAGUAAGGAUUCGGCUGCAGCAAGAACGAGAGCAAGACCAGUGUCAGCAGGGAUCUGCGUCUCCCAGAAGAAGCUUCGACAGAUCGUCGAUCCCAGCCAGAGGCUCCUCGUGCAGCUGCACAAAAUUGUCUACAUCUCUCAACUUCCACCAGCUCCGCACCAUAACAUCAGACG